GGCCAUAAACUUCGGAUUUUUCCCGCCAGAAUAUUACGAGCCACAGCUUAAAAUUCAAAGGACUUGGCGGUGCCUUACAUCCACCUAGAGGAGCCUGUUCUUUAAUUGAUACCCCCCAAUAAACCUCACCACCUCUUGUAAAUUCAGCCUAUAUACCACCGUCACAAGCCCACCUCAUCAGAGAACAAUAGUAGGCUAAAUAAUUUUAAAUUAAAAAGUCAGGUCAAGGUGUAGCAAACGAGUUGGAAAGAAAUUGGCUACAUUUUCUUUUUAAAAAAUACGAAGUGUUUCGUGAAAUAAAACAUGAAGGAGGAUUUAGUAGUAAAAAGAAAAUAGAGUGUUCUUUUUAAAAUUGGCAAUAAGGCGAGCACACACCGCCCGUCACCCUCUUAGUACAAAUAAGCUAAAAUAUAAUAAUUACAUUUAAAAUAGAGGAAAGUCGUAACAUGGUAAGUCCACCGGAAGGCGGCCUUGGACAGAAUAUAGCUGAAAUAAAGCAUUUUGCUUACACCAAAAAAAUAUCUUUAACAGAUUAUUCUGAAUUGUAAAUUUAGCCCAAUAUCUUUUUACCUAACAAAUUU
rnacentral:misc_RNA from 1 species